rnacentral:rRNA from 1 species
UGGGGAAUCUUGGACAAUGGGGGCAACCCUGAUCCAGCCAUGCCGCGUGAGUGAUGAAGGCCUUAGGGUCGUAAAGCUCUUUCGCCUGUGAAGAUAAUGACGGUAGCAGGUAAAGAAACCCCGGCUAACUCCGUGCCAGCAGCCGCGGUAAUACGGAGGGGGUUAGCGUUGUUCGGAAUUACUGGGCGUAAAGCGCACGUAGGCGGACCAGAAAGUUGGGGGUGAAAUCCCGGGGGCUCAACCCCGGAACUGCCUCCAAAACUAUUGGUCUAGAGUUCGAGAGAGGUGAGUGGAAUUCCAAGUGUAGAGGUGAAAUUCGUAGAUAUUUGGAGGAACACCAGUGGCGAAGGCGGCUCACUGGCUCGAUACUGACGCUGAGGUGCGAAAGUGUGGGGAGCAAACAGGAUUAGAUACCCUGGUAGUCCACACCGUAAAACGAUGAAUGCCAGUCGUCGGGUAGCAUGCUAUUCGGUGACACACCUAACGGAUUAAGCAUUCCGGCCUGGGGAGUA